rnacentral:tRNA from 1 species
GCCUGGGUGGCUCAAUCGGUUGAGUGUCUGACUUCAGCUCAGGUCAUGAUCUCGUGGUUUGUGGGUUCAAGCCCCGCAUCGGGCU